rnacentral:rRNA from 1 species
GAUGAACGCUGACAGAAUGCUUAACACAUGCAAGUCUUUGGUGAAGCUGUGCUUGCACAGCCUAGCCAAGGCGGACGGGUGAGUAACGCGUAAGGAACUUGCCCUGCAGUCAGGGAUAACAGACGGAAACGACUGAUAAGACCUGGUAAAGUCAGGCGGACUCAUGUCCAGCCUGAUGAAAAGAGAUGCUGCAGGAGAGCCUUGCGUCCUAUUAGCUUGUUGGUGGGGUAACGGCCCACCAAGGCAAUGAUAGGUAGCCGGCCUGAGAGGGUGGACGGCCACAAGGGGACUGAGAUACGGCCCUGACUCCUACGGGAGGCAGCAGUGGGGAAUAUUGGACAAGGGGGGCAACCCUGAUCCAGCAAUUCUGUGUGCACGAUGAAGGUUUUCGGAUUGUAAAGUGCUUUCAGCAGGGAAGAAAAAAAUGACGGUACCUGCAGAAGAAGCGACGGCUAAAUACGUG